rnacentral:rRNA from 1 species
ACACGUCUACAUUAGAUACCCGCGUAGUCCCAGCCGUAAACUAUGCGCGUUAGGUGUAUCGGUGACCACGAGUCACCGAGGUGCCGAAGGGAAACCGUGAAACGUGCCGCCUGGGAAGUACGAUCGCAAGGCUGAAACUUAAAGGAAUUGGCGGGGAGCACCACAACGGGUGGAGCCUGCGGUUUAAUUGGACUCAACGCCGGGAAGCUCACCGGAUAAGACAGCGGAAUGAUUGCCGGGCUGAAGACUCUGCAUGACUAGCUG